ensembl:lncRNA
CUCUUCUUUAUUAUUAAAUGUUUUAUAUAUAUAUACAUAUACAUAGUGAUGAUUCAAAAUACAUAUUUUUUGUUUAAAAAAAGUUUGUUAAAAGAGAGCAUCAAAGCACUGGUAUAAUGUUUUAUUGGUUCCCCCCACUGGGAGUAAUAGCAGAUGGUAGCGUUUGAAAUGGCACCCUAUUCCCUAUAUAGUGCACUACAUUGAACAGAGCCAAUAGGGCCCUGGUUAAAAGUAAUGCACCAUAUAGGGGAUAUGGUGCCAUUUUUGGUUCAGCCAUGUCCUAUAAUAGUGAUGUACUCAAGUCAUUAUCAGACCACUCCUUCUUGAUAAAAAUGCUGAGGACUUAAUACAUUAACCCCCUGAUCCCAGUCACUGAAAACCAUAAAGAGUACAGCUUACAAUAAAUCACUAUUCUAAUAUAAACUAUGAAACAGUUUGGUUCAGAGGUGACACUCAGUAGCAUAGAAAUAAAAUGUGUGCCGUGGUCUGAGAGGCUUUGGCCAUUCUGUUAAUCCAAUUUGAUCAGUAGUAUGAUAUGUAGUGGCCUAGACCUAAAACAGCAGGCCUGUCAAUCCACCACGGGCGAGGGCGAGGGCUCCAUCCACCACGGGCGAGGGCUCCAUCCACCACGGGCGACCAUGGACGAGGGCUCCAUCCACCACGGGCGAGGGCUCCAUCCACCACGGGCGAGGGCUCCAUCCACCACUGGCGAGGGCUCCAUCCACCAUGGGCGAGAGCUCCAUCCACCACGGGCGACCAUGGGCGAGGGCUCCAUCCACCAUGGGCGAGGGCUCCAUCCACCACGGGCGAGGGCUCCAUCCACCACGGGCGAGGGCUCCAUCCACCACGGGCGAGGGCGCCAUCCACCACGGGCGAGGGCUCCAGGAAUAUUAAACCACUUUAGUAGCAUGUGUAGUUGGCCUAGUUAUAGUAAUAAAAGUGCUCAUUCAACCAUAGAGAUGGGAGCUUGAGUAGAUGAUGCUCCACUCCAGUAGUAGGCCUAGGUCCCUUCAGUAACAUGUGUAACUCCUAAUACUAAAUGAUUUCAGGUCAGAGGUGAUCAGCUCAGUAGUAUGUUGUAUUAAAACAGCUUAAUUCAUCCAUUGGGAUCAGAGCGCCAUCUCAGUAGUAGACCUAAGACACUUUAGUAACAUGUUGUAAUCCUGACUCAUCACAGAUACAUCCGCUGAUUAAGGCCCUCUCACCUGGAUUAGUUAGACUGUUGAGUGGGAGAGGGGAGGACAAGGGACAGAAGAAAGGAGGGGACAGGAGAAAUCAGUAAAGAGGAGAAGAGGGGGGAGGGGAUGGGAGGACGGUGUUGGAGAAGAGGAGAGGGGACAGGGGAGGACAGGAGAGAGGGGGAGAAGAGAAGGAGACAGGAGAGGAGAGGGACAGGAGAGAGGAGAAGAGGAGAGUCAACAGGAGAGGAGAAGCGAGCAGAGAGGGGAGGACAGGAGAGAGGGGGGAAGAGAAGGAGACAGGAGAGGAGAGGGACAGGAGAGAGGAGAAGAGGAGAGUCGACAGGAGAGGAGAAGCGAGCAGAGAGGGGAGGACAGGAGAGAGGGGGAGAAGAGAAGGAGACAGGAGAGGAGAGGGACAGGAGAGAGGAGAAGAGGAGAGUCGACAGGAGAGGAGAAGCGAGCAGAGAGGGGAGGACAGGAGAGAGGGGGAGAAGAGAAGGAGACAGGAGAGGAGAGGGACAGGAGAGAGGAGAAGAGGAGAGUCGACAGGAGAGGAGAAGCGAGCAGAGAGGGGAGGACAGGAGAGAGGAGAAGAGAAGGGGACAGGAGAAGAGAAGAGAGGGGGAGUGGGACAGCAGAAUAAUAGACGGUUAGAUAAUACUCCUUCCUCUCACUCGUCUCUCUGAGUGAUCUCACUCGCACUUGCACUCGCACUCUCUCUCUCUCUCUCUUCCCUCCUCUCUCUCUCUCUCUCUCUCUCUC